AUUGAACGCUGGCGGCAUGCCUUACACAUGCAAGUCGAACGGUAACAGGUCUUCGGAUGCUGACGAGUGGCGAACGGGUGAGUAAUACAUCGGAACGUGCCCAGACGUGGGGGAUAACGAGGCGAAAGCUUUGCUAAUACCGCAUACGAUCUAAGGAUGAAAGCAGGGGACCGCAAGGCCUUGUGCGUUUGGAGCGGCCGAUGGCAGAUUAGGUAGUUGGUGGGAUAAAAGCUUACCAAGCCGACGAUCUGUAGCUGGUCUGAGAGGACGACCAGCCACACUGGGACUGAGACACGGCCCAGACUCCUACGGGAGGCAGCAGUGGGGAAUUUUGGACAAUGGGCGAAAGCCUGAUCCAGCAAUGCCGCGUGCAGAAUGAAGGCCUUCGGGUUGUAAACUGCUUUUGUACGGAACGAAAAGGCUCUGGCUAAUACCUGGGGCACAUGACGGUACCGUAAGAAUAAGCACCGGCUAACUACGUG
rnacentral:rRNA from 1 species